GUGCCAGCAGCCGCGGUAAUACGUAGGGCGCAAGCGUUAUCCGGAAUUAUUGGGCGUAAAGAGCUCGUAGGCGGUUUGUCGCGUCUGCCGUGAAAGUCCGGGGCUUAACUCCGGAUCUGCGGUGGGUACGGGCAGACUGGAGUGCAGUAGGGGAGACUGGAAUUCCUGGUGUAGCGGUGAAAUGCGCAGAUAUCAGGAGGAACACCGAUGGCGAAGGCAGGUCUCUGGGCUGUAACUGACGCUGAGGAGCGAAAGCAUGGGGAGCGAACAGGAUUAGAUACCCUGGUAGUCCAUGCCGUAAACGUUGGGCACUAGGUGUGGGGGACAUUCCACGUUUUCCGCGCCGUAGCUAACGCAUUAAGUGCCCCGCCUGGGGAGUACGGCCGCAAGGCUAAAACUCAAAGGAAUUGACGGGGGCCCGCACAAGCGGCGGAGCAUGCGGAUUAAUUCGAUGCAACGCGAAGAACCUUACCAAGGCUUGACAUGAACCGGAAUGAUGCAGAGAUGUGUCAGCCACUUGUGGCCGGUUUACAGGUGGUGCAUGGUUGUCGUCAGCUCGUGUCGUGAGAUGUUGGGUUAAGUCCCGCAACGAGCGCAACCCUCGUUCCAUGUUGCCAGCGGGUUAUGCCGGGGACUCAUGGGAGACUGCCGGGGUCAACUCGGAGGAAGGUGGGGACGACGUCAAAUCAUCAUGCCCCUUAUGUCUUGGGCUUCACGCAUGCUACAAUGGCCGGUACAAAGGGUUGCGAUACUGUGAGGUGGAGCUAAUCCCAAAAAGCCGGUCUCAGUUCGGAUUGAGGUCUGCAACUCGACCUCAUGAAGUUGGAGUCGCUAGUAAUCGCAGAUCAGCAACGCUGCGGUGAAUACGUUCCCGGGCCUUGUACACACCGCCCGUG
rnacentral:rRNA from 1 species